CCUACGGCGUGUAGCAGUGGGGAAUAUUGGACAAUGGGCGAAAGCCUGAUCCAGCCAUGCCGCGUGUGUGAAGAAGGCCUUCGGGUUGUAAAGCACUUUCAGUGGGGAAGAAAGCCUUGGGGCUAAUACCCUCGAGGAAGGACAUCACCCACAGAAGAAGCACCGGCUAACUCCGUGCCAACAGCCGCGGUAAUACGGAGGGUGCGAGCGUUAAUCGGAAUUACUGGGCGUAAAGCGCGCGUAGGCGGUCUGAUAAGCCGGUUGUGAAAGCCCCGGGCUCAACCUGGGAACGGCAUCCGGAACUGUCAGGCUAGAGUGCAGGAGAGGAAGGUAGAAUUCCCGGUGUAGCGGUGAAAUGCGUAGAGAUCGGGAGGAAUACCAGUGGCGAAGGCGGCCUUCUGGACUGACACUGACGCUGAGGUGCGAAAGCGUGGGUAGCAAACAGGAUUAGAUACCCCUGUAGUC
rnacentral:rRNA from 1 species